CACAAGCGGUGGAGCAUGUGGUUAAUCGAAGCAACGCGAAGAACUACCAGGCCUUGACAUGCAGAGAACUUCCAGAGAUGGAUUGGUGCCUUCGGGAACUCUGACACAGGUGCUGCAUGGCUGUCGUCAGCUCGUGCGUGAGAUGUUGGUUAAGUCCCGUAACGAGCGCAACCCUUGUCCUUAGUUACCAGCACGUUAUGGUGGGCACUCUAAGGAGACUGCCGGUGACAAACCGGAGGAAGGUGGGGAUGACGUCAAGUCAUCAUGGCCCUUACGGCCUGGGCUACACACGUGCUACAAUGGUCGGUACAAAGGGUUGCCAAGCCGCGAGGUGGAGCUAAUCCCAUAAAACCGAUCGUAGUCCGGAUCGCAGUCUGCAACUCGACUGCGUGAAGUCGGAAUCGCUAGUAAUCGUGAAUCAGAAUGUCACGGUGAAUACGUUCCCGGGCCUU
rnacentral:rRNA from 1 species